UAUAUCCAUUUAUGAGAUCCUAGAUGCACUCUCCAAAAUUUAAACUAUAUCCAUUUAUGAGAUCCUAGAUGCACUCUCCAUCACAGCAUAUAGGUGGAUAACCUAAUGUCAUUUCAAAAUUUAAACGUUUAUUUCCUUCUCUCUCUCUCAAAAUCCCUACUCCCAUUUCAAAAUUCAAAAAAUAUGUAACCACGUAUUUGUGAAGAUGGCGGCCUCUGUUCAGGUAAGACGACAAAGGUAAGACGACGAUCACCCACCCUCAUCAAGCACCGACUGUCGUGGCCACCACUCACACGACCUAUCUUCGUCUCCGGUCACCCACCACCGUACUCCUUCUCCACCCUGAACCCCAAUCGCCGUACAAGGACGUAUUUCCGGUGGUCGUCUCCGGCGAUGGAACGGUCGCAUCAAUCACUGGGUUUGAAGAGGGGUUAUCGCAUACAUGGUCAGCCUAGGGUUAGGAUGAAGAUGCAGUGAGAUGACGGCACAGGUUCUUACAGACCAACUGAAGAUUUCAAACGUCCUUAAAGAGCAGCCCUUCAUUAGCCUUUUCAGUAUCUCAGAGUUAAAAACAGGUUUUAAUGUUUUAAUUCGUUAAUGUUGCUCCCAAAAAGAGUUUGUGUUUCUUUGUUUAAUCACCGGUGGUUACAUACAUGCUAAUUUAAUUCAAAAUUGAACUAUAAUAUUCACCAAAAACAGAUUGACCAGGUGGUAGCACAUUAAUGGUGGCGAGCAACUGACUUGCAAUAGGAACUUUCUUAUCGUCGUUCCUGUAGCGUUGACUGGUCAUUAUAAGAUAAUAGAUUUGGAUGUAUCUAUAACUAGCAAAAUAAGUGGGGUAACGCCGUAACGGGAUCAGAAUGGGUUCGGGGUUUGGGUCAAACCUAAUAUGAAAUUCGUGGGUUUGGGUUUGGUAUAAACGGUUUCGGGUCAGUUUCAGCCAAACCCGCUUAGCUAAACGGUUCGUGUUUGGGUCGAAUCCGACAGGGUCAAGGAGAAGGAUCUGUUGGUGCUUAUCUUGAUAUGAAUGGAAACAGGGUGUCUACUCCAGCCGAUGCAUUAAUCCUCACCUUGUGUCGCCGGAGGAAAGGCCAGUUUUAAAUGGCUUGACAUCAUUCCCAGAAUCAGAGACUUCGCCAAGAAGCAGUUCCGGUAGCAACGGUAUUGUUCAGCCACGGUUUGCUCGCGCUUCCUCUUUAGGAGUGGCUUUGCAUAAGGAAAUAGUAGCGGCUCUUGCUGACUUGUUAUAUAAUGAUGAAAAAUUAAGUCUCAUCGAUGUUGCUGAUAUUGAACAAAUUCUAAACCAUUCCGAGAUGACAACGCAAGUUUUUCUGCAAGCAGUCCGGUAUCUUGCUCAAUCCAUGCUUGAAAAUAUUGAGGUGAUCGAGUCUGUACAGCACUUGUCAACAAACACCAUGGAAGCUCUAAAAGGGCUUCGAAAGAUUAGUAACAUUUUAUCGGAGAUGUGAGGUGAUUUUCUUCUUUAUAAUACAUAAACUGUAAUUAUGAUUUUUGGGAGUGGAUGGCACUCUUGUAAUUUAGGUUAACAGCUUCCGGCUAGCUUGUAAAUGUAAAUAUAUACAUGUAUCAUAUUAUUUGAGUGACAAACUGAUUUUCAUAAUGUUAUAAUCUCAUGUAAUUGUAUACUAACUUCUAAAGGCUUUUGAUUGCCAAAUUAAAUACAUGAACUUUAUUUAGUGA